rnacentral:rRNA from 1 species
UACGGAGGAUCCGAGCGUUAUCCGGAUUUAUUGGGUUUAAAGGGAGCGUAGGUGGAUUGUUAAGUCAGUUGUGAAAGUUUGCGGCUCAACCGUAAAAUUGCAGUUGAAACUGGCAGUCUUGAGUACAGUAGAGGUGGGCGGAAUUCGUGGUGUAGCGGUGAAAUGCUUAGAUAUCACGAAGAACUCCGAUUGCGAAGGCAGCUCACUGGACUGCAUCUGACACUGAGGCUCGAAAGUGUGGGUAUCAAACAGG